rnacentral:rRNA from 1 species
CCACGCUAUCCGCCAGAGAACUACUAGUGAAAAACUUAAAACUCAAAGGACUUGGCGGUGUCCCAUUUCGGACUAGAGGAGCCUGUCCUAUAAUCGACACCCCCCGUUCCACCCAACCUCCACUUGCACAUUCAGCCUAUAUACCGCCGUCGACAGUCUACCCCAUGAGGGUCUUUUAGUAGACACAAAAGCAACAACUCGCUAAUACGUCAGGUCAAGGUGUAGCAAAUGUUGAGGAAGAGAUUGGCUACAUUUUUUAUUUCAAAAUAAACGAAAUGCAACAUGAAACAUUGCACGAAGGUGAAUUUAGCAGUAAAAUGAACAAGAGAAUUCAUUUUAACACCGCUCUGGGACGCGC